UGUUUCCCAAAAAGAUUUCAUUUCCCGCAACUCCUCCUUCAUCUUCUCUGGUCACUGCUUCCUUGAAACAUUUUGCUGCUUCUCUCUCCUUCCCCUCUCUGGUUUCUCAUCAUUUUUGCGCUUCCCCUCUCUGAUUUCUCUGCUCCUCCCCCUCUCUGGUUCUCAAUCUGGGCGCGAAAUUCAACACCCGCAGCACACACCGCAUGACUAGCCUCGUCGCCGUUGUUGUUCCCUCACCGCCGAAUUCGUCCAAUUCCUUCCGCCGCCGCGACACACAGGCGUCACUCCUCCUUCUCUUAGAGCCUUUCUUCAGUUGAUUGAGGCUCAGCAGCUGGCGGCAUUGUCAGUGAGAUAUGAGCAGGAGAUGAUGAUGAGGAUCUGGGAACAACAACAGCAGCAGCAGCAAUAACAACAUCAUUUUGAGGUUUCAUGAUGGAGGCAAUGGUGAAUAUAUACGAGGGAAUGAGGGAGCGAUGGUUGUUGCUGGGUUUAACCAGGUGGGGUGUGCAUCAGCUGCUACAACAAUGUUUUUGGGUCUUAGAGUGACCACAUUUGAUCCUAACGCAUACAAUCAGAUGAGGUCUGCAUCUGCUGCUACAUUGUAUUUCGCUCUUUGACUAACAAAGUUGAGAGGUUGUGGUGGUUCAGGAUGUCUUUAUAGUAAGCAGCUUCAUAAACAAAGGGUCUAAUAGGAUCCAUUGGGACCACAGUAUUGGCACUGGCAUUCCUUGAUGGGCACUGCUGGCCUGCUGCUGCAUAAGCGAAGUUCAUGUUGGGGUCCUGGCCGGUUGCUGAAUUGAAAGUGUACAGUGUACGGAUCAAGUAGGUACCUAUGUAUGCAUUGGUGGAAUGAAACAUAUUUUUGUGAAUUUACUGUUCAAUACUUAGGAUGUAUAAUAAUCAUAGUAGACCUCUUCAAUGUGACUAGUUAGUGGUUAACAACUUAACACCUCUUUUUACAUUUUUAUUGAUUUUUUCCCUUCUACUCAUUGUGACCAAAAAACCUUGACCAAAACAGGUGAGUAUAAGUCUUAGAAGCAUAAACCUAAGUAUAAUGAACAUGUAAAGGGUUUAAAAUACUCAUUUAGGUUCCUUAGUUGAAAGUUGGGACCGAACUAAGCCAUAUUAGUCAAAAUGUGACCUUUAAUGAUCAAACGAGCCUUAAAUAUGUAUAACUUGACCAAAGUAGGCGAGAAUGAUUAUUUGAACAUUUAAAAUACAUAUAACGAACAUGUAAAGUGUUAAAAUACUUAUUUAAGUAUAUUAGUUGAAAGUUAGGAGCGAAAUAAGUCAUUUUAGUCAAAAUAUGAACUAUAAUGAACCAACGAGCCUUAAAUGUGCGUAACUUGACCAAAGUGGGUGAUAAUGAGUCUUUGAAAUAUAAAUCUAAGUGUAUUAAACAUGUAAAGGGUUUAAAAUACUCAUUUAGGUUCAUUAGUUGAAAGUUGAGACCGAAAUAAGCUAUUUUAGUCACAAUGUGACCUAUAAUGUUCAGACGAGCCUUAAAUGUGUGUAACUUGACCAAAGUAGGUCAGAAUGAGUCUUGAAAAAUUAAAUUAAGUCUAAUGCACAUGUAAGGGAUUUAAAGUACUAUUUUAAGUUCAUUAGUUGAAAGUUAGGACCAAAAUAAGCCAUUUUAGUCGGAAUAUGACCUAUAACAAUAAAAAAAGACCUUAUAUGUGCAUAGCUUCACCAAAAUAGGUGAGUAUGAGUCUUAGGAACAAAAAACCAAGUAUAUUGAACAUCUAACGGGUUUAAAAUACUAUUUAGGUUCAUUAAUUGAAAGUUGGGACAUAAAUAAGCCAUCUUAGUCAAAUGUGACCGAUAAUGAACUAACGAGUCUUAUAUGUGCAUAAAUUGACCAAUAGUGAAAAUUUGACCUAUAAUGAUCAAACGAGUCUUAUAUGUGCAUAAAUUGACCAAAAUGGGUGAUAAUGAGUCUUUUCAACAUAAAACUAAGUGUAUUAAACUUGUAAAGGGUUUAUAUUAUUUAUUUAAGUUCAUUAAUUGAAAUUUGGAACCAAAAUAAGUCAUUCUUGUAUUGAAUCUUAAAUAAUGGAUGCUAAUUUUUCAUAUGAUUGUAACGUAAUCGACUUUUAUAUUUACAAUUAUAUACUUUCUCCA